GGUUAAGCGACUAAGCGUACACGGUGGAUGCCCUGGCAGUCAGAGGCGAUGAAGGACGUGCUAAUCUGCGAUAAGCGUCGGUAAGGUGAUAUGAACCGUUAUAACCGGCGAUUUCCGAAUGGGGAAACCCAGUGUGAUUCGUCACACUAUCAUUAACUGAAUCCAUAGGUUAAUGAGGCGAACCGGGGGAACUGAAACAUCUAAGUACCCCGAGGAAAAGAAAUCAACCGAGAUUCCCCCAGUAGCGGCGAGCGAACGGGGAGCAGCCCAGAGCCUGAAUCAGUGUGUGUGUUAGUGGAAGCGUCUGGAAAGGCGUGCGAUACAGGGUGACAGCCCCGUACACAAAAAUGCACAUGCUGUGAGCUCGAUGAGUAGGGCGGGACACGUGGUAUCCUGUCUGAAUAUGGGGGGACCAUCCUCCAAGGCUAAAUACUCCUGACUGACCGAUAGUGAACCAGUACCGUGAGGGAAAGGCGAAAAGAACCCCGGCGAGGGGAGUGAAAAAGAACCUGAAACCGUGUACGUACAAGCAGUGGGAGCACAGAGCAAUCUGUGUGACUGCGUACCUUUUGUAUAAUGGGUCAGCGACUUAUAUUCUGUAGCAAGGUUAACCGAAUAGGGGAGCCGAAGGGAAACCGAGUCUUAACUGGGCGUUAAGUUGCAGGGUAUAGACCCGAAACCCGGUGAUCUAGCCAUGGGCAGGUUGAAGGUUGGGUAACACUAACUGGAGGACCGAACCGACUAAUGUUGAAAAAUUAGCGGAUGACUUGUGGCUGGGGGUGAAAGGCCAAUCAAACCGGGAGAUAGCUGGUUCUCCCCGAAAGCUAUUUAGGUAGCGCCUCGUGAAUUCAUCUCCGGGGGUAGAGCACUGUUUCGGCAAGGGGGUCAUCCCGACUUACCAACCCGAUGCAAACUGCGAAUACCGGAGAAUGUUAUCACGGGAGACACACGGCGGGUGCUAACGUCCGUCGUGAAGAGGGAAACAACCCAGACCGCCAGCUAAGGUCCCAAAGUCAUGGUUAAGUGGGAAACGAUGUGGGAAGGCCCAGACAGCCAGGAUGUUGGCUUAGAAGCAGCCAUCAUUUAAAGAAAGCGUAAUAGCUCACUGGUCGAGUCGGCCUGCGCGGAAGAUGUAACGGGGCUAAACCAUGCACCGAAGCUGCGGCAGCGACGCUUAUGCGUUGUUGGGUAGGGGAGCGUUCUGUAAGCCUGCGAAGGUGUGCUGUGAGGCAUGCUGGAGGUAUCAGAAGUGCGAAUGCUGACAUAAGUAACGAUAAAGCGGGUGAAAAGCCCGCUCGCCGGAAGACCAAGGGUUCCUGUCCAACGUUAAUCGGGGCAGGGUGAGUCGACCCCUA
rnacentral:rRNA from 1 species